rnacentral:rRNA from 1 species
UCGAACGUGAAGCUCGGAUUGAUUACUUCGGUAUGAUUUAUGGGUGGAAAGUGGCGAACGGGUGAGUAACACGUAGAUAACCUGCCCUGGAGCGGGGGACAACCAUUGGAAACGAUGGCUAAUACCCCAUGGUUCUAUUUUUUCGAGAGUCUAAAUGGAUAAAGCUCUGGCGCUCCGGGAGGGGUCUGCGUCCGAUUAGCUAGUUGGUGGGGUAAUGGCUUACCAAGGCGACGAUCGGUAGCUGGUCUGAGAGGACGAUCAGCCACAUGGGAACUGAGACACGGUCCCAACUCCUACGGGGGGCAGCAGUGAGGAAUAUUGCACAAUGGGGCAACUCUGAUGCAGCAACGCCGCGUGGAGGAUGAAGGCUUCGGUUGUAAACUCCUUUUCUGAGGGAAGAGAAAGGACGGUACCUCAGGAAUAAGUCACGGCUAACUACGUGCCAGCAGCCGCGGUAAUACGUAGGUGGCGAGCGUUAUCCGGAUUUAUUGGGCGUAAAGCGCGCGCAGGCGGUUGAUCAAGUCCGACGUGAAAUCUCUCGGCUUAACUGGGAGGGGUCGUUAGAAACUGAUCAACUUGAGGCAAUGAGAGGGGUGCAGAAUUCCUGGUGUAGUGGUGGAAUGCGUAGAUAUCAGGAGGAAUACCAGUGGCGAAAGCGGCACCCUGGCAUUGGCCUGACGCUCAUGUGCGAAAGCGUGGGGAGCGAACGGGAUUAGAUACCCCGGUAGUCCACGCUGUAAACGAUGAAUACUAGUGUAGCAGCAUCAAACCUGUUUGUGCCGAAGCAAACGCGAUAAGUAUUCCGCCUGGGGAGUACGGCCGCAAGGCUAAACUCAAAGAAUUGACGGGGACCCGCACAAGCAGCGGAGCGUGU